UCUGCAAUUAGUGAAAGCACCAAUUAGUCAUGAGCGGAAAAUAGAAUGGAACCAAACAAAACAUUAAUUAGAAUGGCAAGUGAAAACACGACAAAGUUCCCCGACUAUCAGAUACCCGUUACUCAGCUAGUAAUAAUGCGAACGCAAAAUUUCAUCAUUUUACUGGGAUAUCGAUAAAUAUUGCGGAAUACAAUGAGAAAAAAAUUAAAAAUUUUUUAAAAGUGUUGUCCGUUUUGCCGUUUUGAGCGUUUUGUAGGUGAAAGGUGGGGCGCGGACAAAGUGUUUUUGGUGUAACGAUAAAAUUGGCAAAAUAAACAAUAAAAAGAAGAAAAAUCAAAACAUUUGGGAGGUUUGUGAGCGUUAGAAUGGCCGUGGCAAAAAGAAUUUUGUCAAAUCGAUAGAAAAUUAACAAAACUUAUAACAAUAUGAAAAAUUAACAAAAUAUUUUUUAAGUGUGGGCGUGGCACUUAUGGGCGGUUUGUGAGCGAAAAUGCUUCGUUCUGCGUGUUACAUACUUUUCAACGGAUCUAGUAUACCCUUUCACUCUACGAUUAACGUGUGUAAAAAUUAAUCUCAGUGAGUAAAAUUGAUUUUAUAUGGUGUGAUGUAAUUUUUAUACCCGUUACUAGAUUCGUUGAAAAGUAUGUAGCAGGCAGAAGAAAUCGUUUCCAUAUAAGGUAUACAUUCUUGAUCAUGAUCAAUGUUUUGAUUUUUCUUCGUUUUAUUGCUGGUCUUGCCAAUUUCAAUCGGUAUUGGCCACGGGUGGAGGGGCGUGGGACACCUACAAAACGCUAAAACGGUCACGCCCACACUCUUGAUAAAUUUUUAAAUAUUUUCUCAUAUUAUUUAUCUUUAUCCCAGAUAUCCUACAGCAUUCUCUCAUGUUUUUAAUAUUCACUCUUUCACCUUCUGCUAUAGUUAUGAUUGGACUACCAAAAAAGAUUUAAAUUUUUUCGUGUUGCUUGGUAUAUAACAUUAGGACCUAGAUCGACUGUGAGCAGGUAGAUAACUCCGUGCAAAUGCAGUUGCCAGAAACGCAAACAAUUUGGAUGAAUUGAGUUUGAAGAACAAGAAUAUGGCAAAAAGCUUGUAUAAAGGUGGAAAGAAAGAAAUGAGAGAGACCGGAGAGCGAAAAGACAAGAGUACAGAGAGCGUUUACGUGCCAGUCGCAAGGUAGUAACGGUCCAAUGUUAAAAUUUCAGCGGGACAAACAGUAAAACCAAAGACAAUAGACACUUAGACCUGGAGAAUAGAGAUAUCAGAAAUUAACGUUACAAGGAGGCCUGUAAAAGCAGGUCAAUCGCUGGAAGCGACACAGUCAUCGAGAAACUGAACGCAUGCGAACGAUGUGCAGUAAGUAAAAGUCAAGGGAGAUACGGCUGUGAACUUCGACAAGGGAUAAAAUUGCUUUAUCGAGACGUUCGGGCCAAAGAAAUAGUUACAAUAUAUUGUGGGGUUGGAAACGGCGUGAUUACCAAUAGAGAAUGCUAUAAUCGAUUGCCUUCAAUACUAGAUACCCGCACAAAACGGCAAAUACAUAUUCAUAUAUUCUGUGCCGAAUGAACAAAAUUGUUGAUAUAAUAUUUUCUCAUUCGAAUGCAAAUUCACAUCAGCCCUUAUUAUAGGUAUAUUGUACUCCCAAAGUAAACGAUUCCUUAAAAGGUAGGAAGAUAACAGGUAUAGGUGGCAGGUAACAGGCAGGAGUAAGCGUAGCCGCCGCAAUGAAGUAUAUUAAUUAUUGAUUAGGAUCACGUUCUCUCUUGUAUUUAUCGCAUUGGGAGGUAUUUGUGAUUAAUUUGCUUAAUAUGUUAUUUUAGAGUUUCUUUGUUUGCUUUGUUUUUCCAUUUUUAUGGCAGGGGUACCUCCAGGGGAGUAAAUCUCUCAACAGCUAAAAUAAGCUAUAAGGUAUUGGUAUUGGCUUAAAGAGUGUUGACACCAUAAACAACCUGCCAUCAGCUGGAAUGAAGACGUGUGAAACAUAUUGAGUGAAAUCACUAGCGUUAGACAUGCGGAAGCCAUAUCUACUUGGCUAUAUCCACCCAUAAUUAAAACACCACCAAACCUGGGGAAGUAAUGCACAUGAGUUGGCCACACAUCGCGGAACUGCACAUAUCCUGACGCUAAUAAAGCAGGCUCCCGAGAUUUUUUCACCCAGGGUAUCCUCUUUCGUCGCCGAUGGCUUGCAUUUCGGGAUACACAUCCAGAUCCAAGCUGCUGCUGCAAAUGGCAUUGUAACUUGUAAUCCCUAUAGUGGUUAGCUACUUCGUGACAAAAGAGAUCCGGCCAAAAACACUUUGUAUUGUACUCUCUUUUCAUGGUCAUUCGUGAAAAAUACUGGCUUCCACUGCCCAGAGCAACGCCUUCUACAACCAGGCCGACAGAGGAGCACAUGCCUCAGGCCCUUGGACAAUUUUACGGCAUCAAGCCAAAAGAUAUAAUAGACCGUUAGCACGCUUCAAGCCAACUUGCUCGUCGGAGCCAACAAGGUAAACUGCGUGGGUUGACAUUGAUGGCUUCUCCUCGUCGCUUUUGUUUCGGGAUAUAAUUGAACAUUUAUUGAACAGUCGAACAAUACAAUUUAUGUUAGCAACAGCAGUUUGCGGUUAUUUGUUAUCACGUCAGGUCGCGAUUUGUUUUUGUUUGUUCGACGACGGAUUGGAGUUGAAAAUGAACUAAAAGCUGAAUUGUUGGGUUACUGAACUGUAUUUAUUAAUACCCUCUAAAAAAUAAAAAUAACCAUUUAAAUAUGUAUAACCACUAAAAUAAUUUUGGUACACAAUAAAGGUUCUGAAAAAACGAUAA